UAUCAAUAAGCGGAGGAAAAGGAACCAACAGGGAUUGCUCUAGUAACGGCGAGUGAAGCAGCAAUAGCUCAAAUUUGAAAUCUGGCGUCUUCGACGUCCGAGUUGUAAUUUGUAGAGGAUGCUUCUGAGUAACCACCGACCUAAGUUCCUUGGAACAGGACGUCAUAGAGGGUGAGAAUCCCGUAUGCGGUCGGAAAGGUGCUCUAUACGUAGCUCCUUCGACGAGUCGAGUUGUUUGGGAAUGCAGCUCUAAAUGGGAGGUAAAUUUCUUCUAAAGCUAAAUAUUGGCCAGAGACCGAUAGCGCACAAGUAGAGUGAUCGAAAGAUGAAAAGCACUUUGGAAAGAGAGUUAAAAAGCACGUGAAAUUGUUAAAAGGGAAGGGAUUGCAACCAGACUUGCUCGCGGUGUUCCGCCGGUCUUCUGACCGGUCUACUCGCCGCGUUGCAGGCCAGCAUC
rnacentral:rRNA from 1 species